rnacentral:rRNA from 1 species
GAGAGAGAUUUUCGGAGAGAUUCUUGCUUCUCUGAUGUUAGCGGCGGACGGGUGAGUAACACGUGGAUAACCUACCUAUAAGACUGGGAUAACUUCGGGAAACCGGAGCUAAUAAGAGACGGGAGAGUUCCGGAUAAUAUUUUGAACCGCAUGGUUCAAAAGUGAAAGACGGUCUUGCUGUCACUUAUAGAUGGAUCCGCGCUGCAUUAGCUAGUUUUGGUAAGGUAACGGCUUACCAAGGCAACGAUGCAUAGCCGACCUGAGAGGGUGAUCGGCCACACUGGAACUGAGACACGGUCCAGACUCCUACGGGAGGCAGCAGUAGGGAAUCUUCCGCAAUGGGCGAAAGCCUGACGGAAGGAGACGGUGUGGUGCAACGCCGCGUGAGUGAUGAAGGUCUUCGGAUCGUAAAACUCUGUUAUUAGGGAAGAACAUAUGUGUAAGUAACUGUGCACAUCUUGACGGUACCUAAUCAGAAAGCCACGGCUAACUACGUGCCAGCAGCCGCGGUAAUACGUAGGUGGCAAGCGUUAUCCGGAAUUAUUGGGCGUAAAGCGCGCGUAGGCGGUUUUUUAAGUCUGAUGUGAAAGCCCACGGCUCAACCGUGGAGGGUCAUUGGAAACUGGAAAACUUGAGUGCAGAAGAGGAAAGUGGAAUUCCAUGUGUAGCGGUGAAAUGCGCAGAGAUAUGGAGGAACACCAGUGGCGAAGGCGACUUUCUGGUCUGUAACUGACGCUGAUGUGCGAAAGCGUGGGGAUCAAACAGGAUUAGAUACCCUGGUAGUCCACGCCGUAAACGAUGAGUGCUAAGUGUUAGGGGGGUUUCCGCCCCUUA